UUUUAAUAUUUUUAAAAAUUUUUUUUAACAUUUAUUUAUUUUUGAGACAGAGAGAGACAGAGCAUGAAUAGGGUAGGGUCAGAGAGAGGGAGACACAGAAUCCAAAACAGGCUCCAGGCUCCAGGCUCCGAGCUGUCAGCACAGAGCCCGACGCAGGGCUCGAACUCACGGACCACGAGAUCAUGACCUGAGCCGAAGUUGGCUGCUUAACUGACUGAGCCACCUAGGCGCCCCUGGAAUUGUCCUUUUUAAAAAAUUCUGUUGACUCAAACUAGAAUCAACAUCUUUACUCUUUAUACUUCGUGUGUUAUUAGUCUAUUUGGUACCAGACUAUUUAACAUGGUAGCCACUUAAAAAGUGGAGUGCCUUUGUUUUCAGUGGCACAACAACAGAACUUGAGACUAUAACUUUCUUAGCACUGUCACCACUCUCCUCAGCACCUUACACUGUCACCUUGUAAUAAUAGUUGGCUUAAGAGAAAAUGAAGCAUUUGGGCUCCCAAUAGGCUUGGAGUGAUAACUGACUUCUGGCUCUCCCAAGCUGUGUGGCCUUGGGCAAGUCACAUAACCUGAGACUCCAUUUUCCUUUGACAGAAUGGUCGUAAUACCUACCGGUAAAUCCUCUGCCUGUUGUGUAGAGAGUAGACUGGCUGCAUGCUGGGACCUCCCAAGGAGCUUGAAGCACACUGACCCCCGGAGAUUCUGAUUUCACCUUGGGGAUAGGAGAUGAAACAAGGAGCAGUGAUAGUGGCUUUGACUACUAGGUAUCAGUGGAGGCGACAAGAAGUGGUCAAAUUGAGAACAUGGUCUGAAAGUAGAUUUAACAGAUUCGUUUAUGGAUAGGAUGUGGAGCAUUAGAGAAAAAGAGGAGUCAAGAAUUAAUAAAAUUUUAGGCCCUCAGCCCAGAACGAUCGUGCCAUUUACUGAGAUAGAAAACACCGGCAUGAAGGACUGAAAAUAUCCUUGCAUCUUAGAAAAGAGUGGGAAGGCCCACAUGUGCCCAUAUGUAUGUUUGUGUGCAUUUCUUUAAAUUUUCUUAGAAUAUUGCACUUAUUCUAAAAUCAGGAUUUCCAUCUUCUACCUCCUUUAUCUUCUUUGAAUAUUCUUUAGAACCUCAGUAAACAUAACUAUCAGUGUCUUACCUGCUGCAAUGUAUUUUAGAAGUCCAGGAACUGUAUGGAUUUAAUCUAUUUGGGAUUGAUACUUCUGUCAUGACUUUUCACUCCAUAAUCAGAGUCAAUGAGAACUUUCUUUCAUGUCCUCAUCAUGUUCUUUUGGUUCUUGAGGUAUUCCAAGCUGCAGGGACAUCCUUCAGAGUGGAGAAAUUAAAUGAAAGCACUUCCUAUAAAGUAGGCGCUAAGCUAAGCAAAUAUGACUUGAACCUGUGUCUGCUGAGUGAUUGGGAUAAGAUCAAGCUGUUCAGAUUUUGGAAGCUGAGGUUUUUAAUGGGCUGGAGUGGUUUUAAAAUCUCAGUGAGUAUUUUCCCCUUUGCUCAACAAUGGCCAAGCCAUUCCAGCAGAUCUACAGGGCUGACUUUGUGAUUCUAAUUAGUGGUGAUAGCCUGUGGAGACACUAGCACUGAAUUACUAGGGUCUCCCUGCAGUGGGUGAUUUUUAUUUAGAGUGCUAGAAGGUUCUUUGAAGCAUCUGUUCCAUCCAUCCUUGCAUCAUUCUUGUUCCACCUGCGAAUUGGGUAGGGUUGAUGGCAGUCUCACACAUGUGUAGGUGUCAUUGCUUUGAUGUCACUGAGCACAGUGCUGGGUCUCCUCAGUCUCUGCAGCCCACCAGCUGUCAUUCACACACCCUGGUUUAAUCUGCUCGGUGGAGGUUUCUCCCUUGUUCUUUAGCCACAUCCUGAAGGAAGCCAGCUCUGCCUUAUUUGCUUUUGUGAAGGUGACUCCUAGAUCUUUGAGCCUAUCUUGUCUAACCAGUCUUGGUAGGUUCUUUAAUACUAACCACAGUGCCUACUGCAGACCAGCCCUCCCCAGCCACACCCAUUCUUAAGGUCACGUUGGGAUUUGGUGUUCUCUGGUGUUCCUUUAUGGAUUUCCCCUUUUUCUAGCCUUGUUCAGUGGACUUGUUAGAUACUUUGCAUGCCAGAUUGUGACGCUGCUCAUCUUCAGUAGGCAGAUGAGAGUUUCACCCCUUUCCUUACCCUGGGCAGCGUCCUGUAGAGUAAAAUGCUAUUCUUGCUUGUGGGCAUUUUAUGUUGCUGUGUGUGCUAAACCGACUUCUCUGCCAAAGUCGUAAUUAGCAGAUAGGCUUUAUGUUCUUUGCAGGGUGUUUUUGAUGGUUGAGGCCUUGUUAAAAAAUAAAGAAGUAUUAUUUCUCUCUUGCAAAGUCACAAUGGAGGUAAGAAGCAGGUGGCUGUCAAACUCUGCUGACUCAUCCUGAGAAUAAUACAGCAGCAAAACAAUGUUAUUUGACUGUUUCUGCUUCUUUUAAUAAAAUGAGAACUAGUCUGUUGGAACCAGUCAUGUGUCUACCUGUUUUUACAUUAUAAAAUGCAUAAAUGGCUCUAAAAAUGAAAGUCGUAAUAAUUCAGAUAAUUUUCAUGAUUGUUUAUUUGUAUUUUUUCCCCAGUAUGUUUUCAGGGCUGGGUCAUUCAGUUAUAUCUUCCUAGGAACGCUUUGCUACCGAAGAGGUUGACUAGCUUGCAAGGAUUUUUAUCAAUUCAUUAAUGCUUUUCUCCAUGUAUAAAGUGAUUAAAACUUGGUCAUGUAUUGGCACUGUAUUUAUGGUUCUCUGAUGACCUCAGAAUUUUCUUAAAAAAAAAAAAUCAUUUUAAAAAGAUAGCCUUGUAGAAUUGCAGAGUGAGAGGGAGCUGAGAGAUUAUACAGUGCAACACAGUCCCUGACACAGCUGGCCUAGCAAUUGGUUACCCAGUUCCUCCUUGAAUACCUCUCAGUGUGAAAAUAGACAGCCCAUUCCAUUCUCAGCCACGUCUAAUUCUUAGCAAGUGCUUUCUAGAACCUUCAGUUUAUCCAAAUUCCCAAAACCCUCUCCAAUUCUGAUUUUUUAUGUCAUUUGCACGUUUAUUAGUAGUGCCAUGUAUGUCCUUAUCCUGUCAUUGGGAUCCAGGCAGUCUGGCUCCAGAGCCCUCUUGAACUUAUGUUUUUAUUUUAACUGUCCCAAGGGAUCCUUUUGUAUCAGAGCAUAGAUUCAUGGGACUCAGUCUUCGGGGUCACUCAUUCUGGACAGUAUUGUCCUGUGUUUUCCUCCCUGUAAUGUACUUUAUUUCAAAGAUACUUUGUACCUUUGGCCUGCAUGUGGCUUCAGGGUAGUGUGACCCCCUCCAGCCCCACUCUCUGUGACGGUCCCUGCUCAGUGCUGAGUCUGCCUGCCUAUGUCUCUGGACCAUAAGUCCAUAUUCCCAGGAGGGGAUCUGAUUGGCCUAGCUGGUCAGGUGCCCCUUGUUAACCCUGACACCCCAGGCCAGGGUAGUAGGUCAGGAGAGGAGUAGAGGGGCAGGAACCAAGGGUAUCUCAGGGUAAGCUCCUUCAGAAGGGCUUGAAGGCAGGGGGGAACCAAAGGAAAUUUCCAGUGUGAGCCCUGUCUGACGAUGUUGGUCAACUAGUUGAGAAUCUACAUCGUUACAUGAUCAUGAAACCUAUAUGUCUGUGUUUAAAAGAAUAGAGCCUAGCUGAAAGCCUUGUUGAAAUCCAUAUGCUAAAGUCUCCAUUUUUAAAAAGGAAAGAGUCUGUGGGCUUGCUGGUCCCCGAUGGUCUCCUCCUUCCUUUAAACCAUUCUUUUAGUCCUCUACACUUGAUUUUUGACUGGCAUUGACCCCAAACUCAUUGGCCAGUAAUAGUAUUGUUGAGACCUAGGUAAUAUAAAAGACCUUUUUUUGAAGGGGAAAUUAAAAAAAAAUUUUUAAUGUUUAUUUAUUUUUGAGAGAGACAGAGACAGAGUGUGAGUGGGGGUGGAGCAGAGAGAGAGGGAGACACAGAAUCCGAAGCAGGCUCCAGGCUCUGAGCUGCUAGCACAGAGCCCGAUAUGGGUGUCAAACCCACAAACCGUGAGACCAACCAUGACCUGAGCCAAAGUCGGAUGCUUAACCGACUGAGCCACCCAGGCACCCCAAAGGGGAAAUUUUUUAAAAAUCUGAGUAUAUAUCCCAUGUAUGAGAAAUACCCCUUUUUUUAAAGUUUAUUUAUUUUUGAGAAUGAGAGAGAACACAAGCAGGAGAGGGGCAGAGAGAGAGAGGGAGAGAGAGAACCCCAAGCAGGGAUUCUCCACACUGUCAGUUCAGAGCCCGACGUGGGACUCAAACUCAUGAACCGUGAGAUCAUGACCUGAGUCGAAAUCAGGAAUCAGAUGCUUAACCAACUGAGCCAUCCAGGCGCCCUGAGAAAUGCUGCUUUUAAAAGAGUGAAAUCCAGGUGCCUAGGUGGCUCACUCAGUUGGGAGCCCAACUACAGCUCAGAUCAUGAUCUCGUGGUUUGUGGGUUUGAGUCCCACAUCGGGCUGUAUGCUGACAGCUCAGAGCCUAGAGCCUGCUUCGGAUUCUGUGUCUCCCUCCAUCUCUGCACCUCCCCCACAUGUGUUCUGUGUGUGUCUCUCUCUCAAAAAUAAACAAACAUUAAAAAAAAUUUUUUUUUUUUAAACAGUGACGUCCUAUUCAAUGUUAACUGAAUUCUCAAUGCUAAAGGGAAAUGUUUUUAGCCGGAGAAUUUAUUUUCAGAUUUUUACCAUAACCUUUAGAAAUUGUAGUUCCCAUUAUGUAAAUCUGUGAACUCUAAAAGCACCUCUGUAGACUAUGUUCGUAAACAGUUUCUAAAGUACAGGAUUCUCUUUCUUUUCUAUUUAGAGCACUGGGACAGCUGUUUCUUGCCUUCAACUUCUGUAACCUCUCGCAUUCACCAUGGUGUCUUCUAUGAUGAGUGACAAUCCACAGAAUGAUUCUGCAGGUUCUCAUAGCUCUGCAGGUUUGAAAGUGUGUGUGUGUAUGUAGAUGCAGGCCUAGAUAUGCUGUCAGAUAUGAGUUCAUUUAGAGCAGCUAGGUGCGGGCUUUUCUUUUUUUAGCAAGCCUCUACCUUCUUUUGUGCCUCAUUCCUCCAACUAAUGUUUGUUGCAACUUUUCUAAGAAAGUCUUAAGUUGAUCACCCUUGAUAGAGAAUGAAGUAGGAAAAGUAGGAGUUGAGAAGUGCUGUUAUUUCUUUUAUUUUCUGUUAACAGUAUGCCAUCAGUUGCAGGCAGCACACCUGUCCCAGCAAUUCCUUGUACUCCACAUGGAAGGCAAGAAAACAUUUAGUAGUCUCUAACAUUUUUUUUAAUGUUUAUUUUUAUUUUUGAGAGAAAAAAAUACAUGGGGGAGGGGCCGAGGGAGAGGGGAGGCACCGAAUCCGAAGCAGGCUUCAGGCUCUGAGCUGUCAGCACAGAGCCCAACAUGGCACUUGAACCCACAAACCUUGAGAUGGUGACCUGAGCCGAAGUCGGACGCUUAACGGACUGAGCCACCCAGUCGCCCCAGUCUAACAUUUUUAAAAACACCUUUCCUUUGUUCUCAGAUGUCUGUGCAUCUGUUAUUAUUCACUCUUGAACUUGUGAGCCGAUUUCCAACCUUUUCCAUGAUCUUGUUUAUGUUUUACUGGUGCAGUGGCACUGCUCUCUUUGAAUACACCUCCCUUUCCCCUGUGUCAGGACUUCCACAGUCAGUCAGCAUGUUGCUUUAGACAGCCUUCCAGACUUCUGUCCUUUUUGGGUCUCGAUGAUAACUUAAAAUGUGUCCUCCCAAAGUCUAGAAUACAUAUGUGUCUGGUUUAGCCUGGUAUUCCCCUUUUUUGCCUGUCAAAAGCUCUUUGGUACAGUUAUGUUUUCUACAGUUUCAGUUCUGUUUUAUCACUUUUGCACUGAUUAGAGUCCAAUCCAUGGUGGCAAUUCCUCAUCUUGUGUCUGUGCCUUCUCAGAGAUGAAUUUGAAUGCGAGACAAGUCAAUGGUGCUUUUAGCUAAUUGAGACUUCGAGGAGAUGCCUGGUGGAUGUCUGGCAGUUGAAACCCCUCACUGCUAGUGCAGUCUGUUUCUGUGCCAAGUUUUAAGUCUAUAUCUAAUAUAUAUAUUCUCGGGAACAUACCAUUUAUUGCUUUUAUCUGACCAAGUGAUCUAUGGCCUGUUCUCAAGGAGGUAUCAUUAAAUUCCUUCCAUCUUUUAUUGUUCUUCUUCCUUUCCUGUUAAGCAUGAUUUAGCAUUAAUAAAAAUGUUUAUUAUUUCUAACAAUUCAGCAUGCCCAAGAUGAUUAUUUUCCAAGGUUAACAUGCAAGGCUGACGGCCAAGGAAAUUGGGUGCUUACUAUGUGUGAGGUUCAACACUAGGCAGGCCCUAGAUUUUCAUGUGAUGCUGCUUAAGGAAAGCCUUUCUUCCUGAUGUCAGGAAUACUUAUUUUAGCGUCCACCACUUAGAAUUGAUAGUACUGCUUUUGGAGUUUGCUGCAAUUCAGCAUGAGUUCAGGAAAUAGCCAUUUUUUUUUCCUAUUCUAGAUAAGAAAUGUUGUCUAUGUGGUUUCACGCUUAUUUAUUUUUAGAUCAGUUCCCACAAAGACACUUAAAGAAAAAUAUCUUUACCAUUUAUUGUAUGACAGGUCCUGAUAGAAGAAUAUAUUAGUGGGUAUCAAGACAGGCAAAAAAACUGUAAACUACUGGGAAUUUUUGGAUGCCUGAUAUUAAAAUAGAAAAUUUAGUGAACAUUUAUUACAUGGAAGAAAAUUUCCUGAUGUGUUCUUCGUCUCUUCCUGAUAUUAGAGUAACAUACCAGACAGUUACUUUCAUGUGCCCUUAUGCCUGUCCUGUCUCAGUGCAUAAGUUAGGUUUAUCUGUAACAUCUAUUAUUCUCAGCUGCUGUAAUGUAGCAGUAUUCUUACACAGAGAGUUGUGACACUGAGGCUUUUCUUUCCAGGAAGCAGCUUUAUUCAUGCCGGCACUGUUCAGUUGGGUUCGUACCCGAAGAAGUGAGCCCCGAACACCAUGUGGCAGUUUUUUUUUUUAUACAUUUUCUAUUUCUUUGUCUCCCAUAUAUGGUAACACACAAACAUGCAGUCUGAUUAAGUGGUCUCAUGUUACAAGGUCAUGAGGGAUGUUGUCACAUACUGGUAUAGCCAGGUUGCCUUAAGGUUUUGUUUGUUUGUUUGUUUCCAUUCCUUAGUGAGGGGACCCUACCACAAUAUACCUAAACUAUAGGUCAAAAGAUUAAUAUUGGAGUGAUCACAAGACCACUUUAUAUUCAAAACUUUUGUAGGUGAUACUUCAAGGAGGAAUGGUCAGAGAGGGUGCUUUCACAUCUAAGUAGCAUCUAACAAGACCAUGAGGGUAGGAGAGAUUUAUGGUUGGAAAAACUAUUGAUAUGAAACAGGGAAAGUAGAGGAGAAAUAGUUAGAAGUCGGGUCAAGCUUAUUUGUUGAAUGAAUGAAUACCUCCAUUAGUGUUAAAGCUUUAGAGCUAGGUUGUACUUUAAUCGGUUUCCCUGUAUUGUCCUGGGUAUGAUACUCACUGGCUCUGACCAUGAGCAGUUCUCCAUUAGAAGUAGUUCCUGUAUCUUCAUCAUUUUGAGAAAAUUCUUUAAAACCCUUACAGAAGGGUUCACUCCUUUUUUUAAAGACUGAAAGCAACCCAUUUUUGAAGCAGAUAACCGUAUUUUACAUCAUUGGAGUAAGUGGAUGUCCUUUGUUACAACAUUUUGUUGUAACUCAGUUGGGCUUGAGGGUAAUGAGCUACCAUUUGCAUGAAUGAUAAAAAAAAGGAGGGGAAGUUAGGAAAGCGAGGGAUGUGGAAAGCUUUUUGACUGUAGUGCAAAUUCUUUAGGGUGACAACCCAUAGUUAUCUCAGAACAUGCUGGACUCGGGGCUUGGUUAGGACAGCUGUUAACAUCAGAGGAGAUCUGCUCUAGCAAGUAGGGCCAGUUGGGGAAGGUUCUAGGCAGCCUGGUGAUUUUCUUUAUAAGAAAGCCAAGGAUGCUCCAAGGCAGUUUGACUAAUAGAUGGAUAGCUCAGAUCAGUCUUAUGUGUGCUCAACCUUUCCAUACAUCCAGAUUGCACAUUGACCAUUUCUAGUCGACCAUGGGCCAUGUGCCCACCUUUAAGUCAAAAAGGGGAACACUAACUUGAUGCAGCAGACCCUAAAGACUGCCAGCAGUUGUGCAAGAAGAGUUCUCCAAAGAAAACCAAGGAUUUUUCAGGAGAAGCAGAUGCUGAGCUGAAAUGAGCAGCAGAUGUCCACUGCACUGAGCCUAAAUCAACAGUCAGGUAUAAAUCAACAGGAAGGUAUAUUGCUGCAAUUGAAAAUUUCAUUUCCCUUCUGGCUAUUGCAACCAUGAUCUAGAAAUUUGAGACAGAUUGCUAAAUAAUUUCUAUUUUCCAUACUUUUAAAGGUGUUUGAUUUCUUCAAUGCCAUCUUUGAAAAUGUAGCGUGUGAGUCUUAACCUCUAAAGCACCCCGUUCCUUGUUCCCAGCCCCGUGGUUUUUCUUCCCUUUGUUCUUUCCCUCAGCAGCUGCUGCCAAGCUCACAAUCGAACAUUUGAAAUCGCUCUUCUGCUCCAACAGCACAGGAUAUGGGAUUUCAAAUCUCUUUUGUACCUCUAGUAACUGCUUCUAUGUUUCUAAUAAACUAUAUAUAUAGUAAGAUACCAUUAAAAACAAAAUAAAUACAAGCCUGUAAAUUAUAUUUAGCCAAAGAUUGCUUUGUUUCAGAAACUUGAGCCAAAAACAAAGCAAAACUACUAUUACAUGAUGACUUCUAAUUGUUAUUUUUCUCACAGAAUAAAAACAUACUAAAAUUUUGGAAAGGAUAAUGCUCAUGGUUUCCCAAUAAGUAGCCCUUAACUUUAAUUACACCUAAGUUUGUAGUUGUGCCUCUAAAGUCUCUGGCCAGUUUUCCAGUUCAUAUUCUUUUAUUAGAUCCAAUGACUCUUGCAAGCAAGACUGUUUGUCUGAUGACCCCAUUUUGUGUCAAAAACCAUGAGCAAUUAAUAUGACCUCUUUAAUGUCUAAUAUUUGAGGCCACUGAGCAAAAGGAUAUACAGUUGGACUCUCCUGAAUAUGUUAGGAGGUAACGUAAUAGAUAACUCUGAUUCCAGUUUUAGCCUUACUUAUAACUGCAAUAAACUUGAGACUACAGAAACUCAGUGGUGCUAUAACCAUAUUACCAGGCAACAGAAUGAUUUUGUAUUUUGUUCUUUUCUCCCUCCUACCUACCCACCCCUGCUUUUCUGUUGCAUAACCCCCCACACAGAUGACAAUUUGGGGGAAAACAUUUACUUACUUAAUAUUAAUUUAUAAAAUCAUAGGGUAAAAUGCAUUAUUUUGCUAUCUAUACUUAGACACUGGUCACAAUUUUCAUUAUAAUUUAUCCACAAAUUUUAAAAAUGUUAAUACCAGGGUGCCUGGGUGGCUCAGUCGGUUAAGCGUCCA